UAGGGAAUCUUCGGCAAUGGAGGAAGUCUGACCGAGCAACGCCGCGUGAGUGAAGAAGGUUUUCGGAUCGUAAAGCUCUGUUGUUAGAGAAGAACGUUGGUAGGAGUGGAAAAUCUACCAAGUGACGGUAACUAACCAGAAAGGGACGGCUAACUACGUGCCAGCAGCCGCGGUAAUACGUAGGUCCCGAGCGUUGUCCGGAUUUAUUGGGCGUAAAGCGAGCGCAGGCGGUUCUUUAAGUCUGAAGUUAAAGGCAGUGGCUUAACCAUUGUACGCUUUGGAAACUGGAGGACUUGAGUGCAGAAGGGGAGAGUGGAAUUCCAUGUGUAGCGGUGAAAUGCGUAGAUAUAUGGAGGAACACCGGUGGCGAAAGCGGCUCUCUGGUCUGUAACUGACGCUGAGGCUCGAAAGCGUGGGGAGCAAACAGG
rnacentral:rRNA from 1 species